UACGGAGGGGGCUAGCGUUGUUCGGAAUUACUGGGCGUAAAGCGCACGUAGGCGGAUAGUUAAGUUAGAGGUGAAAGCCCAGGGCUCAACCCUGGAACUGCCUUUAAUACUGGCUGUCUAGAGAUCGAGAGAGGUGAGUGGAAUUCCGAGUGUAGAGGUGAAAUUCGUAGAUAUUCGGAGGAACACCAGUGGCGAAGGCGGCUCACUGGCUCGAUACUGACGCUGAGGUGCGAAAGCGUGGGGAGCAAAC
rnacentral:rRNA from 1 species